rnacentral:rRNA from 1 species
UACGGAGGGUGCAAGCGUUGCUCGGAAUUAUUGGGCGUAAAGGGUAGGUAGGUGGUCUUGUUUGUCUGGGGUGAAAGCCUUGAGCUUAACUCAAGAAGUGCCCCAGAAACGGCAAGACUAGAGUCUUGGAGAGGGUCGUGGAAUUCCCGGUGUAGCGGUGAAAUGCGUAGAUAUCGUUUGGAACGCCGACGGUGAAAACAGAUGACUGGGGCUGUGCCGACGCUGAGACACGAAAGCCAGGGGAGCAAACGGG